rnacentral:snoRNA from 1 species
GUCUUCUCAUUGAGCCAGUUUCUGCCUGUUGGUGGCAGUUUAUGCAGUCACAUGAGAAGAAUGCUCAGAUUCAGUGGCAUUCUGCCUUGAUUAUCCUCAGAGGUACAUUCUGCUAUCUUGUGAGAUGCAC